rnacentral:tRNA from 1 species
GGGGACUUAGCUCAGUGGUAGAGCGCUUGCCUAGCAAGCGCAAGGUCCUGGGUUCGGUCCCCA